rnacentral:misc_RNA from 1 species
ACUGAGGAAGGGGACUAUCAGGUCAAGCUUCGCAACCUGAUGCGUUUCCUUGAGCAGGGUGAUCGGGUUAAGGUAACCAUUUGGUUCCGCGGCCGUGAGAUUACUCAUAAGGAACUGGGAAUGAAAAUGUUGGAGCGUGUUAAGGGUGAUGUUGAAGAGGUUGCGACCGUUGAACAAGAACCCAAGAUGGAAGGUCGUCAGAUGCAAAUGAUGAUUGCGCCAACAAAAAAAGGUAAAUAGUUUCGACUAGAUACCGCCACAACAAUCGGCUUCAGUAGUAAUACUGUCGACUGGUGCAGCUCCCUCAGUGCUG